rnacentral:rRNA from 1 species
CACGGAGUUAGCCGGGGCUUCUUCUGCUGGUACCGUCAUUAUCUUCCCAGCUGAAAGGGCUUUACAACCCUAAGGCCUUCAUCACUCACGCGGCAUGGCUAGAUCAGGGUUGCCCCCAUUGUCUAAGAUUCCCCACUGCUGCCUCCCGUAGGAGUCUGGGCCGUGUCUCAGUCCCAGUGUGGCUGAUCAUCCUCUCAAACCAGCUAUGGAUCGUCGGCUUGGUAGGCCAUUACCCCACAACUACCUAAUCCAACGCGGGCUAAUCCUUCCCCGAUAAAUCUUUCCCCCAAAGGGCGUAUACGGUAUUACCCCCAGUUUCCCAGGACUAUUCCGUAGAGAAGGGCAUAUUCCCAGCGUUACUCACCCGUCCGCCGCUAACCCCGAAGGUCCGCUCGACUUGCAUGUGUUAGGCCUGCCGCCAGCGUUCGUUCUGAGCCAGGAUCAAACUCU